GCUCGCGGUGAUGACACUUUGUUUGCACCGGUUCCCGAUGGACCACUGGAGUUCAGUAAAGUUGAGCGUAAUAUCGGGAUGCAUGACCAUCUGGAUAGUAGCAUGCUGCUGACU
rnacentral:rRNA from 1 species